AUGUCGAGGGUUCGGGACAGGACGGAGGACUUCAAGGAGUCCGUUCGCGUCGCCGCGCUCUCCCAUGGCUACACGGAGUCGCAAUUGGCCGCGCUCAUGUCGUCUUUCAUCAUCCGGAAGCCGUCGCCCAAAUCGCCGUUUACAAAUGCAGCAAUCAAGACGCUUGAGAGCAUCAGGGAGCUCGAGAAGUUUAUAGUGAAGCACAGGAGGGACUAUGUGGACAUGCAUCGCACCACGGAGCAAGAGAGGGACAACAUUGAGCAUGAAGUUGGUAUUUUUGUAAAAGCAUGCAAGGAACAGAUAGAUAUCCUAAAGAACAGGAUCCUUGAAGAUGAGAGGAAUAGAAGAGCGAACACAUGGCUUGGCACAAGAGAUGAGACUUCCCGGUUGGACCUGAUAGCUCACCAGCAUGGUGUGGUUUUGAUUUUAAGCGAGCGUCUCCACUCAGUAACUGCACAAUUUGAUCGCCUUAGGUCCCUGCGCUUUCAAGAAGCUAUUAAUAGGGUGAUGCCAAGAAAGAAGAUCAAGAAGAAGCCAGAUAUAAAACCUACUGAACCAUCCAAGUCAAACCUUGUAUUGAAAUCUGAUGUCUCGAAGGUUGAAGACCGGGAGGUAUCAACUGCGCCCUUAAGAGUUCAAGAACAACUCUUGGACGAUGAAACACGAGCUCUCCAGAUGGAGUUGACCAAUCUUCUUGAUACUGUCCAAGAAACGGAGACAAAGAUGAUAGAGAUGUCAGCACUUAAUCAUCUUAUGUCAACACAUGUUCUACAGCAAGCUCAGCAGAUUCAAUAUUUGUACGACCAGGCGGUGGAAGCAACAAACAACGUGGAGCGUGGGAACAAGGAGCUAUCCCAGGCGAUCCAGCGGAACAGCAGCAGUAGAACCUUUCUCCUGCUUUUCUUCUUUGUUCUUACUUUCUCUGUUCUGUUUCUUGACUGGUACAAAAACUGA
rnacentral:rRNA from 1 species